AUUAAUUCAUAUAUAAAAUAAUAUUAAAUUAGUUCCUACUGUUUACUAUAAUCUAUAACAUUUUAAUUUGGAACAGAUGGUUUAAUAGAUACAAAGUAUGGAAAAAAACAAAGUUUAAGACCAGUAUGUUUAUUUGGUGAUAAAGCUGUCAAUACAAAAAAUGCUAAUCUUAAAUGUAAUAGGUAUAAUGUUACAUUUGAUUCUGUUAAUUGAAGAUAUUUUAUUAAAAGUGUUACUGUUUUAAUUAGCAAAAUUAUAAUUGAUUUUGUUAGUUAUUUAUAUUUGAUUGUAUUUUGUUUAAUCUCAAGGAAGUGAUUUUAAUUUUAUUAUGUUUUAAUCUUUAUUGUAAGGUAUAAUGUUACAUUUGAUUUUGUUGAUUAAAGAUAUUUUAUUAAAAGUGAGAA